AAAGACUUAAGUUAAUAAGACUAUGAGCCUUCAAAGCUCAAAGAAUAGGUUGGACCCCUAUAGUUUUUG
rnacentral:tRNA from 2 species